rnacentral:tRNA from 1 species
ACCCGUAUAGUGUAAUAGGCUUAACGUAACAGUUUGCAAAACUGUGGAUCCAGGUUCAAUUCCUGGUACGGGCU